GAUCCACCAACAAACAAUAAAUCAGUGAAGUAAUUGACUGACAAUCAUAAUCUCAUAACAAGCAAAAAGCAAUAUGUUGACUCAAUUUCCAAAUCUAAGCAUCAUGCCACACCAGGUUUUAAUCCACAAGAUAAAGUAUCCUAAAUGUUUGUGAGAUUCCUAAGAGGUGCUCGGUGCUCCUGCUCCAAACCAAAUCAGCGAUGUUUUGAUCUCGAAAGUGGAUAAUUGUGUUACUUGUAUGAUUAAAUCACCUUCCCUCCAACUUAGUUCUCCUCCUCACAUUCAAAAUCCUAAUGUGAAACUGACAAUUGUGUACAAUUGAUGAGAAAUCAAAGCAACCACCAAACAAUUCCAGAAACAUAGCUACUUCUCAAAAAGACAUCAGUACCCAUAGGUCAAUUUAUUGCAUUAGGGCUACAGAUGAACAAAGUCAAGCUGAAUUGAGACAUGUAUUAGGCUCACUAUGAUUAAUUUUGAGAAUUCACACUCAUCUUAGAGCUAACUUGAAAUUGCUCAUUCUCAGAACUCAAUGAACUUCAAGCCCAGAUUUAGCUCAUUCUCAAACUUGAUACAUAGUCCUCAAGAGCCAAGUCCAUAAAACUUUCACAUUUUGUGAUUAUAUGCUACUACAGUGUUAAAGUACAAUGUAAUUGUACUACAUAUAAGGAACAUUAUAU
rnacentral:misc_RNA from 1 species